GGGGUUGUGGCUGAGUAGCAAAGCAUGUGCCUAUCAUGCACGAGGCCUGGGGUUCCAUCCCCAGCACUCCCU
rnacentral:tRNA from 1 species